AAAGAAAUCUGGAAAACUCUCUCAUUCUCAAACAAACCCUAGCCGCCGCCUCCUCCCUCCUUCAGUGUCUCCGGCGGUCGUUACAUUGCUCCACCAUCUUCAUUUUUGAAAAUCCAUCACCAUAAAAAGAGUCCCCUCCAUCUUCUCUACAAAACCCAUUUAAAAAUAUCAGGAACGGACAACCUUCGCCGGUGACCACCAUUCCGGAGCUUGCAACCACCGCGCCGGGAAAGAGCUUACGUGUUUUCAUCCCAAUCUUGUAUGUUGUCCAGAUCUUUACAUAUUUUGUUUCCAUUACAUGCAACAACAACAAUACAAAUAUGAAAUUGGAUGUGAUUUUGUUUUAUUUCUAGAGAUGUAAAUUUUUUUUUGUAGAUGAAUCUCUUUUAGUUCCGAUGCUACUGAUAAAAAAGUCUGUUUUUUCAAUGAAUCUUUGAUAGAACAGAUUUUUUAUUUUUUUUUAUUUUUUACAGAUGAAUAAAAAUUUUAUUUGCAAAUCAAAAGAUUUUUUUUUCUUCACUUUCAAUAUUCACUUUCUGUUAUUACUUGUUAUGAUUUAACAAAAAUUUCACUUAGAUUUUCUUGUAAUAUGACUCAAAUAAUAUUCAUUUCUUUCUAAAAAAAAUUCACUUUAUGCUAUUACUUUACUUGUUGUGGUUUAACUAAAAACAUAGUUUUUUUUUUUAUUUACAAAUGAAUAUAUUUUGUAUAUUUGCUUUUUUGUUGUUGAUAUAAUUUUAAAAUUGUGUUAGGACUGUUUUUGUUAAAUAUACAUGAUAUGAAGGUCAACAACAAAUGAAAUAAUUAAUGAUAUUAGGAAAAUGAAUUCUUAUACCUGCCGUGUUCUUCUUGUUGUCAAAGAGAGAAGAGGAAAAGGAAAAUGAGAGAGGAGAGACAGUUGAGAGAAUGAGAGAGAGAUUUUUUUUUUUUGAAAGAGAGAGAAAGAGAGAGAAUGAGAGAGUAUUAAAUUAUGAAGGAGUAGUGAAUGACAAUAUAAGAGUAUUUGAAAUUUGAAAUUGAAAAUUCGCCUCCAAUUGAUUGUAGAUCUGACAUUAGAUUAUAUCUUUUUUGUACAAAAGAAAACUUUUUUCGUUUUCCGUGUCAACCAAAAUCGGAUUUAUUUAGUUGGCAUCAAAUGUAAAUGACUUUAUGAAGAGCAAAUGAACUAAACUAUUAGUUAUUUGUAGUUACAUGACAUCAUCUUAGUUAAUUGUGGUAAUUUGGUUGAAUAAAGUAAGUUAAAGACAGAUUUUACCCUUACUUUGGUGAUUUGUCAAUUAACCAGACUGGGGCAUUAAUAGGAUUUCCACAACAUCUUCUCUUCUUAUAUCAAGAGAGAUUUUUAACUGCUUAUUGACUCAAGCUAUAUAUGCAUGUAUGUUUGAAGGUG
rnacentral:lncRNA from 1 species